AUGCAUGCACAUUUGCUGUGAUGUGCUUAGAGCUUGACGUAGUGUGUUGGCAGAAGUCUCUUCAGUCUGGUGUGGGACCUGCAGCAGUGGAGGAUUUAAGUGCAUUGCUGGUCCUGGGUAUCUUCAUCUUGGACGAGGAAGCCAAGGCUCAGUAAGAUCAAGUGGGACCUAAGGCAGGAAGAACCUCCUUGAGCAAUUGGAUCUAGAUUCUCCAGGUGGAGGAUUUUGUUGAUUAGAAUACAGAUUGAAAAGUCAAGAGCAGCAUGUUUUGCCCACUGCAGCUGGUCCUGAUCCCAAUGUUACUGGCUUGUUCCUUGGGCCUGAAUGACUUUAGUGCUUCCCCCCCUGAACUCACAGUCCAUGUGGGUGAUUCAGCUCUGAUGGGAUGUGUUUUCCAGAACCUAGAAGGGAAACACGUGACCAAAGUAGACUGGAUGCUGUCACCUGGAAAGCAUGCUGAGGAUGAAUAUGUGCUAUACUAUUAUGGCAACCUCAGUGUGCCUGUGGGGCGCUUCCGGAACCGUGUGUUUUUGGCAGGAGACCUCCUACAAAAAGAUGGUUCUCUGCUGCUCCAAGAUGUGCAACAGGCUGACCAGGGAACCUACACCUGUGAAAUCCGCCUUGAAAGCGAGAGCAAGGUGUUAAAAAGCAAAGUGGUGCUGCAUGUGCUACCAGAGGAGCCCAAAGAGGUCACGGUCCAUGUGGGUGAUUCAGCUCUGAUGAGAUGUAUUUUCCACAGCACAGAAAAGAAACGCCUGACCCAGGUAGACUGGAUGUUUUCUUCAGGAGAACAUACCAAGGAAAUCGUCUUACACUAUGACCUCAAAUUCCACUUUCCUGAGAGAUACUUCCCUUAUCAGGGUCGCUACCAGAACCGUGUAAACCUGGUGGGAGACAUUUCCCACAACGAUGGUUCCAUCAUGCUCCAAAGAGUGAAAGAGUCUGACGGAGGAAUCUACAACUGCAGUAUCCACCUGGGGAACCUGCUGUUCAGGAAAACUCUUGUGCUGCAUGUGACUACGGAAAAGUCUCAAACCUUGAUUCCAGAAAUCCCUAGACCUGAGCUCCUGGGCGGGAAUCAGCUGGUGAUCAUUGUGGGGAUUGUCUGUGCCACUCUCCUGCUGUUCCCUGUUUUGAUAUUGAUUGUGAAGAGGACCCACUGGAAUAAGAGUUCACUAAAUUCUACAGCCUUUGUUAAAAGCCUGGAGAACAUGGAGAAGGCCAAUCCAGAGCAGCAACUCAGGAAGGCCCUAUCACUGCAAAAGGGGUGGUUGAAGAGUGAUGGGACUGGGCAGGCUGGGCCAGACCAGUCCUGGAUGGCAGGUGCUGAGGAAGGGGCACUGGACUUGGACUCAGAAACCAGCACCACCUCCCAGAACCACCUCAGCAAGUUGAGGAUGAGGAUGAAGAUAAUCUGCCCUGCCUCCUCCUCCGUGUCGUUAAACACGUAUACUCCUCUAUAACUACACAGGAAGUGAGGGAGGAAGAAGAACCAAGUGGGAAAUCAGAGGCCAUCUACAUGACCAUGCACCCAGUUUGGCCCUCUCUGAGGUCAGUUCCAGCUGGGGGAAUUCCAAAACCAGAGCAUGCUUUUUGAGAAGAAAGGAGAGUUUCCUUCAAUUUAGCAGUGGCAGGGACUUUGUCCUUCCUCUGUGUUGCUGAGAUACUGUACCAGUUGUUUCAGACCCCUGCCCUCCAGGUAUCCUUGGCUUUCAUCAAAGGGCUGAAGAUGGAGGGUUUGGAGCCUGGCAGAAGGACUGAACAGCUCUGGAGAGGCAGGCUCUGCUGAGGGGAGGGAGAGAAUGAACUUGGUUGGCUAGAAGGGCCCAGAGGAAGUUGGCUGAGGCACUGUGGUGGCCUCAAGCACUUCAUCCAUCAGACCCUUCAUAUGGACAAUGUGCUUUGUGAUUGAGCUACUGAGAAGAAUCACAAUGAUAAAAACCAAUGCAAAUGAUUCCAUCAAUAAAUAAUGCCUAAAUAAACA